rnacentral:rRNA from 1 species
UUUCAAGUUACUAAGGGCGCACGGUGGAUGCCUUGGUACGGGAAGGCGAUGAAGGACGUGGCAAGCUGCGAUAAGCCUCGGGGAGGUGCAAACAACCGUUGAUCCGGGGAUUUCCGAAUGGGAAAACCCAGCGUCGUGAAAGCGGCGUUAUCCAUGACUGAAUCCAUAGGUUAUGGAGGCUAUACUCAGGGAACUGAAACAUCUAAGUACCUGAAGGAGAAGAAAGUAAUAACGAUUCCCUCAGUAGCGGCGAGCGAAAGGGGAAGAGCCUAAACCAGGGGGACAUGUCCCUCUGGGGUUGUGGGACCUCAACGUGGGACCGUAGGAUUUAGCUGAAUCUGUUUGAAAGCAGAGCCAUAGCAGGUGAUAGCCCUGUAGGCGAAAAGUCCGAUGGCCCUAGAGGAAUCCCGAGUACGGCGGGGCACGAGAAAUCCCGCCGGAAUCUGCGAGGACCAUCUCGUAAGGCUAAAUACUCUCCCGUAACCGAUAGUGAACCAGUACCGUGAGGGAAAGGUGAAAAGAACCCCGGAAGGGGAGUGAAAUAGUCCCUGAAACCGUGUGCUUACAAACUGUGGGAGGGCAAUUCUUCGGGAUGCCUGACCGCGUGCCUUUUGUUUAAUGAGCCAGCGAGUUGUCCUCUGUGGCGAUAGGUUAAGAACCUCAGGUUCGAAGCCGUAGCGAAAGCAAGUCUGAAAUGGGCGUCGAGUCGCAGGGGGCAGACCCGAAACUUGUGUGAUCUAUCCAUGGCCAGGCUGAAGCCUACGUAACAGUAGGUGGAGGGCCGAACCAAUGUGGGUUGAAAACCGCUUGGAUGAGCUGUGGAUAGGGGUGAAAGGCCAAUCAAACCAAGAUAUAGCUGGUUCUCCCCGAAAUCGUUUUAGGACGAGCCUUGAGUAAAUGAGUUAUGACGGUAGAGCACUAUUUGGACUAGGGGCCCCACCAGGUUACCGAACCCAGAUAAACUCCGAAUGCCAUAACUUGUAUCUCGGGAGUGAGACGGUGGGGGAUAAGCUCCAUCGUCAAAAGGGUAACAGCCCAGACCGCCGGCUAAGGCCCCAAAGUGUAUUCUCAGUGGUAAAGGUUGUUGCGGUGGCUAGACAGCCAGGAGGUUGGCUUAGAAGCAGCCAUUCCUUUAAAGAGUGCGUAAUAGCUCACUGGUCAAUCAUCGCAGCGCCGAUAAUUCAACGGGGCUCAAGGAUACCGCCGAAGCCGCGGACUUCAGAGCAAUCUGGAGUGGUAGGGGAGCGUUCCGUCCGGGUAGAAGCACGACCGACAAGGACGUGUGGACUGGCCGGAAGAGCCGAUGCUGGCAUGAGUAACGAGAAAGCAGGUGAAAGUCCUGCUCGCCGUAAACCUAAGGUUUCCGGGGCAAGGGUCAUCCUCCUCGGGUCAGCCGGUCCCUAAGGCGAGGCCGAAAGGCGUAGUCGAUGGGAAAAAGGUUAAUAUUCCUUUGCCACCGUAUGGCGUUAAGCCAAGGGGGGACGGGGAAGGAUAAGCUGAGACUCCGAUGGUUGUGAGUACCGAAGCUGGUAGGCGGGCGUCCAGGCAAAUCCGGACGCCAUUAACGCUGAGAAGCGACAGGGUGUGGAACCUCCGGGCGAAGCACUUCAGCUGAUUCCAUGCCUCCAAGAAAAGCCUCGUGGUUUGUCAUAAGGUGACCGUACCGUAAACCGACACAGGUAGGUGAGGAGAGUAUCCUCAGGCGCUCGAGUGAUAACUCGUUAAGGAACUCGGCAAAAUAGCCCCGUAACUUCGGAAGAAGGGGCGCUUUC